UACGUAGGGGACAAGCGUUGUCCGGAUUUACUGGGCGUAAAGAGCGCGCAGGCGGUCGUUCAAGUCGAGUGUGAAAGCCCCCGGCUCAACUGGGGAGGGUCAUUCGAUACUGAUCGACUCGAAGGCAGGAGAGGGAAGUGGAAUUCCCGGUGUAGUGGUGAAAUGCGUAGAUAUCGGGAGGAACACCAGUGGCGAAGGCGACUUCCUGGCGUGUUCUUGACGCUGAGGCGCGAAAGCUAGGGGAGCAAACGGG
rnacentral:rRNA from 1 species